GCCUCCAAAAGAGUAACGGAGGCUUCUAAAGGUUCCCUCAACACGGUUGGCAAUCGUGUGUAGCGUGCAAUGGCAUAAGGGAGCUUGACUGAGAGACAUACAGGUCGAUCAGGUACGAAAGUAGAGCAUAGUGAUCCGGUGGUUCCGCAUGGAAGGGCCAUCGCUCAAA
rnacentral:ncRNA from 1 species